CCGUUGUAGCGUUGGAAGACUCUGUGGUCGAUGCAUCGGCACUUGCUGUGGAGGUCUCUGAUGUGACCGUCGUAGCGUUUGAAGAUUCAGUAGUUGACGCCUCUGGACUUGUCGUGGACGACUCCGAGGAGACCGUUGUAGCGUUGGAAGACUCUGUGAUUCAGUAGUCGACGCCUCCGCAUUUGUCGUAGACGUCUCCGACGAGACCGUUGUAUCGUUGGA